rnacentral:rRNA from 1 species
AUUGUACGCUGGCGGCAGGCUUAACACAUGCAAGUCGAGCGGAGAGAGGUAGCUUGCUACUGAUCUUAGCGGCGGACGGGUGAGUAAUGCUUAGGAAUCUGCCUAUUAGUGGGGGACAACAUUUCGAAAGGAAUGCUAAUACCGCAUACGUCCUACGGGAGAAAGCAGGGGAUCUUCGGACCUUGCGCUAAUAGAUGAGCCGAAGUCGGAUUAGCUAGUUGGUGGGGUAGAGGCCUACCAAGGCGACGAUCUGUAGCGGGUCUGAGAGGAUGAUCCGCCACACUGGGACUGAGACACGGCCCAGACUCCUACGGGAGGCAGCAGUGGGGAAUAUUGGACAAUGGGCGCAAGCCUGAUCCAGCCAUGCCGCGUGUGUGAAGAAGGCCUUUUGGUUGUAAAGCACUUUAAGCGAGGAGGAGGCUACCGAGAUUAAUACUCUUGGAUAGUGGACGUUACUCGCAGAAUAAGCACCGGCUAACUCUGUGCCAGCCGCCGCGGUAAGAC